rnacentral:rRNA from 1 species
AUUGAACGCUGGCGGCAGGCCUAACACAUGCAAGUCGAGCGGGGUUUUCGGACCUAGCGGCGGACGGGUGAGUAAUGCGUAGGAAGCUACCCGGUAGAGGGGGAUACCAGUUGGAAACGACUGUUAAUACCGCAUAAUGUCUACGGACCAAAGUGUGGGACCUUCGGGCCACAUGCUAUCGGAUGCGCCUACGUGGGAUUAGCUAGUUGGUGAGGUAAUGGCUCACCAAGGCGACGAUCCCUAGCUGGUUUGAGAGGAUGAUCAGCCACACUGGAACUGAGACACGGUCCAGACUCCUACGGGAGGCAGCAGUGGGGAAUAUUGGACAAUGGGCGCAAGCCUGAUCCAGCCAUGCCGCGUGUGUGAAGAAGGCCUUCGGGUUGUAAAGCACUUUCAGUAGGGAGGAAGCGUUGUGAGUUAAUAGUACACAGCGUUGACGUUACCUACAGAAGAAGCACCGGCUAACUCUGUGCCAGCAGCCGCCGUAACAC